rnacentral:rRNA from 1 species
AACGCGAAGAACCUUACCUACCCUUGACAUCCUAGGAAUUUUGCAGAGAUGUGAGAGUGCCUUCGGGAGCCUAGAGACAGGUGCUGCAUGGCUGUCGUCAGCUCGUGUCGUGAGAUGUUGGGUUAAGUCCCGUAACGAGCGCAACCCUUAUUCUUAGUUGCUAACGAGUAAUGUUGAGAACUCUAAGGAGACUGCCGGUGACAAGCCGGAGGAAGGUGGGGACGACGUCAAGUCAUCAUGGCCCUUACGGGUAGGGCUACACGCGUGCUACAAUGGUCGGUACAAAGGGAAGCGAAGCAGCGAUGUGGAGCGAAUCCUAUAAAAGCUGAUCGUAGUCCGGAUUGGAGUCUGCAACUCGACUCCAUGAAGUUGGAAUCGCUAGUAAUCGUGGAUCAGAACGCCACGGUGAAUACGUUCCCGGGCCUUGUACACCCGAUAGC